rnacentral:tRNA from 1 species
GGGGAUAUAGCUCAACUGGUAGAGUGCUUGCCUUGCAUGCAGAAGGAAGGCCCUGGGUUAGAUCCCCAGCACCCCCC